CUUCUCUGUCCUCCUCCUCUCGUGUCUUCUUCCCUCCUUUUUUUUUCUCCGAUUCCGCCGCCUUCAAUGGCCGCGGCCCCCACUCAGCAUGCUCUUUUCUAGACAUGGAGCUUGCGUUACUCUACCACUCCUCAACACGCAAUUUUUUAUUAAUCGUUCUCGCGUCUCGGAAAUCUGUGUAUUCAACCUUGGUUUCUUUCGAUCGAUGUCUGCCACUUGUCGUUUUGGAAGGAUCUGUUUUUGCUUUCAGUCUAUUUCAACUGGAUUUUCUCCUUAAUAUGAAGGUUUUACUUGAAUUAAGGCGAUUUUGUUUUUCCUUGAUUCUUCGGUGAUAUUGAACCGUAGCUUCAUGCUUAAGUGGAUGAAUUGAUUUAAAAAAUAAAAAAUAAUAUUAUUCACAAAUGUAUCUAUUAUAGGUAUGUUUGUUUUAAUGUAAUUUGAAAUUUGGUUUGGUGAGAAGAACAUAUAUAUAUAUUUUAAAAAAAAUAAAAUUGCAGAGUCGAAAUAAUAAAAUUGUAAAAUUUGAGGUUAAAGGAACAAACACUACAUUAAAAUUUGAUGUUAGAGAAACAAACACUAUAUUAAUGUGUGUAUAUUUGUAUAUUUUUAAUAGUAUUUAUAAAAUUAUACCAUUGAAUAAAGCUGAAUGAACAAAGUAAUUGUGUAUAAUUAUUUGUAAAUAUUAUAAUUUUUAAUAAUAUUCAUAAAAAUUUGAUCAAGUAAAAUAUAAUUGGGUGCACAUACGUCCCUUAUUUUUAUAUAAAUAAUUUAAAAAAUUUUAUUUAAAAUUUUUUAUUUAGGAAUAAUAGAAAAUCUACUAAAUCCCCCCAAACAAACACAACCCUUCUCAAUAUAUUGUAAAAAUACCAAGUCUAAGGUCAGAAAAUCAUAUAAAACCUAAUUCAGUUUGAGCUCACAGUCCCCUAACAAUAUUUGAUGCGGCAAAUCAAAUACUGAUUCUUAUACAAGAACAAUGGAUAUAACCUUCUUAUCAAAUAUUAUCAUAAAAGAAAA